UACAGAGGUCCCGAGCGUUGUUCGGAUUCAUUGGGCGUAAAGGGUGCGUAGGCGGCGGGGUAAGUUUGAUGUGAAAUCCCGGGGCUCAACCCUGGAAUUGCAUUGAAUACUACCUUGCUAGAGUACCGGAGAGGAAACUGGAAUUUACGGUGUAGCAGUGAAAUGCGUAGAUAUCGUAAGGAAGACCAGUGGCGAAGGCGAGUCUCUGGACAGUUACUGACGCUGAGGCACGAAGGCCAGGGGAGCAAACGGG
rnacentral:rRNA from 1 species